rnacentral:piRNA from 1 species
AGCAGUUAGAGACACACUGUGGUGUCUGAGUG